UGGGGAAUAUUGCACAAUGGAGGGAACUCUGAUGCAGCGACGCCGCGUGAGUGAUGAAGGAAUUCGUUUCGUAAAACUCUGUUCUAUGGGAAGAAAAGGACUGUACCAUAGGAGAAAGCUCCGGCUAAAUACGUGCCAGCAGCCGCGGUAAUACGUAUGGAGCGAGCGUUGUCCGGAAUUAUUGGGCGUAAAGGGUGCGCAGGCGGCUUUACAAGUUGGAUGUGAAAUAUUGUGGCUCAACCACAAACGUGCAUCCAAAACUGCAAAGCUUGGGUUAAGGAGAGGUAAGUGGAAUUCCUGGUGUAGCGGUGGAAUGCGUAGAUAUCAGGAGGAAUACCGGUGGCGAAGGCGACUUACUGGACUUAAACUGACGCUCAGGCACGAAAGCGUGGGGAGCAAACAGG
rnacentral:rRNA from 1 species